rnacentral:rRNA from 1 species
UACGUAGGGUGCAAGCGUUAAUCGGAAUUACUGGGCGUAAAGCGUGCGCAGGCGGUUAUAUAAGACAGUUGUGAAAUCCCCGGGCUCAACCUGGGAACUGCAUCUGUGACUGUAUAGCUAGAGUACGGUAGAGGGGGAUGGAAUUCCGCGUGUAGCAGUGAAAUGCGUAGAGAUGCGGAGGAACACCGAUGGCGAAGGCAGCCCCCUAGGCUAACACUGACGCUCAGGCACGAAAGCGUGGGGAGCGAACAGG